rnacentral:rRNA from 1 species
UACGUAGGUGGCAAGCGUUGUCCGGAUUUACUGGGUGUAAAGGGCGUGCAGCCGGGAAGACAAGUCAGAUGUGAAAUCCCGCGGCUCAACCGCGGAACUGCAUUCGAAACUGUUUUUCUUGAGUAUCGGAGAGGUAAUCGGAAUUCCUAGUGUAGCGGUGAAAUGCGUAGAUAUUAGGAAGAACACCAGUGGCGAAGGCGGAUUACUGGACGACAACUGACGGUGAGGCGCGAAAGCGUGGGGAGCAAACAGG